rnacentral:rRNA from 1 species
UGGGGAAUCUUCCGCAAUGGACGAAAGUCUGACGGAGCAACGCCGCGUGAGUGAUGACGGCCUUCGGGUUGUAAAGCUCUGUUAAUCGGGACGAAUGGUUCUUGUGCAAAUAGUGCGAGGAUUUGACGGUACCGGAAGAGAAAGCCACGGCUAACUACGUGCCAGCAGCCGCGGUAAUACGUAGGUGGCAAGCGUUGUCCGGAAUUAUUGGGCGUAAAGCGCGCGCAGGCGGAUUGGUCAGUCUGUCUUAAAAGUUCGGGGCUUAACCCCGUGAUGGGAUGGAAACUGCCAAUCUAGAGUAUCGGAGAGGAAAGUGGAAUUCCUAGUGUAGCGGUGAAAUGCGUAGAUAUUAGGAAGAACACCAGUGGCGAAGGCGACUUUCUGGACGAAAACUGACGCUGAGGCGCGAAAGCCAGGGGAGCCAACGGG